UACGUAGGGGGCAAGCGUUGUCCGGAAUCAUUGGGCGUAAAGAGCGCGUAGGCGGUCCGGUAAGUCGGUUGUGAAAACUGGGGGGCUCAACCCUCAGAGGCCGACCGAUACUGCCGGGCUAGAGUCCGGAAGAGGCGAGUGGAAUUCCUGGUGUAGCGGUGAAAUGCGCAGAUAUCAGGAGGAACACCAAUGGCGAAGGCAGCUCGCUGGGACGGUACUGACGCUGAGGCGCGAAAGCGUGGGGAGCAAACAGG
rnacentral:rRNA from 1 species